rnacentral:rRNA from 1 species
GACGAACGCUGGCGGCGUGCUUAACACAUGCCAGUCGAACGGAAAGGCCCCUUUGGGGGUACUCGAGUGGCGCACGGGUGAGUAACACGUGAGUAACCUGCCCUUGACUUCGGGAUAACUUCAGGAAACUGGGGCUAAUACCGGAUAGGAAUCCUUGCUGCAUGGUGGGGGUUGGAAAGCUUCGGCGGUUUUGGAUGGACUCGCGGCUUAUCAGCUUGUUGGUGGGGUAGUGGCUUACCAAGGCUUUGACGGGUAGCCGGCCUGAGAGGGCGACCGGCCACAUUGGGACUGAGAUACGGCCCAGACUCCUACGGGAGGCAGCAGUGGGGAAUAUUGCACAAUGGGCGGAAGCCUGAUGCAGCAACGCCGCGUGCGGGAUGACGGCCUUCGGGUUGUAAACCGCGUUCAGCAGGGGCGAAGCUUGUGGUGACGGUACCUGCAGAAGAAGCACCGGCUAACUACGUG